rnacentral:rRNA from 1 species
AACGAACGCUGGCGGCAUGCCUAACACAUGCAAGUCGAACGAGACCUCCGGGUCUAGUGGCGGACGGGUGCGUAACGCGUGGGAACCUGCCCUUAGGUUCGGAAUCACUCACCGAAAGGGGUGCUAAUACCGGAUAGUGUCUUCGGACCAAUGAUCUAUUGCCGUUGGAUGGGCCCGCGUUAGAUUAGCUAGUUGGUAGGGUAAUAGCCUACCAAGGCGACGAUGCAUGGCUGGUCUGUGACGAGGCUCAGCCCGACUGGGGCUGAGACACGGCCCAGACUCGGACGGGGGGCAGGAGUAGGGUGUAUUAGGGGCGGGGCGAAGGCCUGGUCCAGCCGUGCGGCGUGUGUGAGGCAGGGCUUAGUAUUGUAAAUCUCUUUUAGCCGAGGUGAUAGUGACAGUACCGGGAGAAGAAGCUCCGGCUAACUACGUG